GGUUAUUCAGGCUCUGUAACCAUUCCUCCCUGCUUGCCACCUCCACUGGCUGUGAUAAAGGAAUAAUCUGCAGAAUGAGUAAGCCGAGUAUGGCUGCAGCAGUGAAAGGAAGAUGGGACACAGAGCUUGAAGCGUAGGAGACAGCGAUGACCCAGGGGAUAUCAUACCAGUGCAGUCUGUGUGAGCGCUCUGAGGGUGCUGCUGGAGGGAGUCCAAAAGGACACAGUGUGAAAUGAACACAGCUCUGACCUCCCAGACACCCCCGACACAGCCAAUCAGAUCACUUCUCCCCGACACAUUGGGCACUAUAAUUGGUCAGUGGGAAAUAUGACCAGUGGGAAUUCAAGUGGCGGGAAAAAAAAAGAGGGAGGGAGUGAGGAGUAGAGCAGGGAGUAAGGGAGUGGUGCUAUGGCUCCUCAAUGCACUUUAACCGACCCUUUGCCCAGGACAGGACAGGAAAUCUCCAGAACAAAAGCUAGCUGUCAUCUCCGCCUGACAGGCUCGCUCUGAACAAAGCUGCUCUCAGCUGACUGACAAACCGACCAAUCCCUAAGGGAGGUAGCCUGUUGUAAUCUGGUUCUGUCUCACAAUUCAGAUGUCUCUGGUGAACGAAGCAAAAGAGCGUGCCCUGAACCCUCAAACAGGAAAUGAGUCCGAAUGAUGUUCCUUUCCCUGAGAUGGGGCCUCAGCUGCGGCCAAUAGAAGGUUGCAAACAACAUUGUGUGUAUAAAUACAAACAUGCCCAUAAACUGAUAUACACACAAAUGUAAAAAAAACCAAAAAAAAAACACAUAAAUGAAUCCACAGAAUGUCUCUCUGUUUUCCUCUCUUCUCUUUCUUUUAACACGUAGGUAUGGAUGUGUACACACCCUUCUCCCAGACAUCCCUGCUCACAGCUGCAUGCCCCGGGCCUUGUCCAGCCCAAACCCAGACUCACAUCAGCCACAUUCCACAGCCUCCCAAAGCCCCAGAGGGCAGCUUCACAGCUGGGCACCAAGCUGGGCUGUUCCCUGCCUCUCUGGCUCAACCUCUUUUACCAACCCCAUCCCCUCCUCCCCCCUUCUGCUCACCAUCUCACACACCCUAAAACAGAACAUAUCUUUCUUUCACCCCUGCAUCAGUGUUUCAAAUUGUUCUGCAGGAGAAAUUGUCCUGCUCUCGCUGCCAUCGGCUCAUUCAAAAUGUACAUGAUCAGGUUAAACCGAAGUGGCUGAGGACUACAACAACAGUGGAUCAAGAUGACAAAGAGUUGCUGGAAUGUUAAUGAGGUCUUUCAGAUUCUGCUGCCAUUGAAUAUUGUUUUAUUCUCUUAUUGCAGCUGGUUUUUUUUUUAAGGUGUGUCAUGUUGACAGGGGUAAAAAGACAUGUCUUCAUUUGUGACUGUGAGGCAGCAGCAGAGCAGUCAAUAGACAGUAUAUGAAACUGACCUCAUCAUGCAAUAAAUAAAGGUAUGGCACAAGUUGCAAACAGGAACCUGGUGAGAUACGACAAUUCUCUUUAUCAAUUCCUCCUCUUUUCGUACUUGUAUGCUCAGAAGCAACAUUAAGAGUGUGUGUGCUAUCAUUUCCCAAACUAUCAAUUAAAGGUGCGAAAGAGUUGACUGA